rnacentral:tRNA from 1 species
UAGACUAAAGCUUGUUGAUAAAAGUGUUUAGUUGUUAACUAAAAGGUUGCAGGAUAGAAGCCCGCUAGUCUAG